GUACUUUCCCUGAGGAUGUUCAAAAUACAGCUCUGAAGCACAUAUACUAAAACUGGAACAAUACAGAGACUAGCAUGACCCCUGCACAGAGAUGACACCCAAGUUCAAGAAGUGCUCUGUAAUUUU
ensembl:snRNA U6 U6 spliceosomal RNA